rnacentral:lncRNA from 1 species
UAAUUAUACAAGAGACUCCUUUUUAAUUGAAAAUUCAAUUCCCAUGGGAAUUGAAAAAAAAAAUAAAAAAAAUUCCCCCACCCCGGCCGGCUCCCCAAGUGCCACCUCUACUUCAAGCAGAAGUACUUCUACUAUAUAGUAAAAGUACUUCUACUUAAAGUAGAGGUAGCACUCGGAGAGCCAGCCGGGGUAGCGAGGCGAAGAGAAGACCAACCUUGCAAAUGCAAAAGAAUGCAAAUUGCUAAGUCGAUCUUCUCUUGAGAGCAGCCACGCGCAUACCUGGCAAAUUGUAAAUCAACAAGCAUUAGUAACAAAUACUCGACAUGCAAAUUUUGAAUCCCAUGGCCGAAAUGACAAGUGCCCCCCACUGAUUCCUACCAACUGCCUAUCUGCCUCAGUCCUAAGCUGUCUGCCUCGGUCCUAAGCUACCUGCAUUCCAUUCGUAACUUCCGCUUUCCUCACCAUCACACAGACACUCACAACUGCCCAACCUGCCACCAGCCCGAACUGCCCACCCUUGAAACUGAAGGAAUUAAAAUUUUGGUAAAGUAUACAUAAUUAAUUUAUUAAUCGGAUAUUUUAGGCCAGACGUAAACAGAUAAAUUAAAGGUUGACGAUCAGACGAAAUACCACAUAUACAAACAGGUGAGUUUCUUACUUGCCUUUAUACAUGAAAUUUACACAGAAAAAUAUAUACGAAACCUCGAAAUCCGG